UACCGCCCCAUUCAAACACACCUAAGUUACCAGGGAAAACUAAAGUACCGUUUUCAGAUGGCGGCGUAUAAAU
rnacentral:tRNA from 1 species